GGGGGCGACCUGGCUUCGACGCGGGUUGCGAAACCUGAGGUGCAUGCCGAGGGUGUAGCUGACCUCGUAAAUCCCUGCUGCAAACUUAUAGUUGCCAACGACGACAACUACGCACUCGCCGCUUAAAACCCGGUAGGGUGCCGUCUCACUGACGUGUGCUUGUGCACUCAGGUUCGAGGCGUCGACUCUCACAAGCUCGCGGUGACGUUCUCCCAGGGCCGAUCCGUUAAAACCCAACUGGGAUCGCCGUUCGUUUUCCCUGCCCGUCGGGUAGCGAGCGGUUAAACUCAAAGACGGAAUAAGCAUGUAGAGCCGAAGGCGGAGGACUUGCGGACGGGGGUUCGAUUCCCCCCGCCUCCACCA
rnacentral:tmRNA from 1 species